rnacentral:lncRNA from 1 species
CAGAGCUGUGCUGCCCUUCUUAGCUCUCCCCUUGGGAGAUGGCAGUUAGAGCUUAGGUUGUCCUGCUUGUGGAGCAAGUAUUUUACACACAGAGCUCUCUGCCCAGCCCCUUGACAUUGAUCCUUUAUACUUUUUGUUUGUUUAAUUCGUUUUUUGUUAGAUACGUCUUACUUUUUCAUUUGGGUAUUUUAUCAAAAAUGUGGCUCAGAUGCUGUGAUUUCAGGCUAGUAAGGAUCAUUAAGCAUCUUGGGAUUUGUCUAUAAAGAGUUUUAUUCUGAGGAUGAUUUCAAAAUAUAAGGACAAGGCAAGAAAGUUUCAUGCUGGCGGAACAGGCUGGGACACGGCAGAGAAGCAAGAAAACGUGUCAACUGAACCUCAUUGUGAUAGUAACAUCCAGGGCUAAGACAGGAGGUGGGAAAUGGACAGUUUAUGGUCAUAGGUAGAGAGCAGAACAUAAAAGAUGUAGAAACUGGGGAAAGAGGAGAAAUCAGUAACGACGUAUGAGAACCCAUGGGGUCACGUGACAGUAAGGGCAUCACACUCUCCAUAGGAAGGAGAAAGACAAAGAUGGCGAGCACGCCAUGUUAGAGAAGGAAAGCCAGGCCGGCUAAGAACAUCCUAACGUAUUGGCUCAAAGCAUCUAUUUCUCAUUUUCCCCCUUUGAACCCACCACACAUAAAAGCCCUGAUUGACAAGGAAGAGCAGAAAGCGCACCGCUCCUGAUCUGCAUCCAUUACAGAGCUCAGUCUGGUGUGAGCAUUCAUGCCUACAGCACUGCCCAGCGGCUUCCUGCUCUGCACCAGGCGCCUGCCCUCUGCUCACACUCCGGCACCUUCAUCGGUUCUCUGCCUGCAUAUCAAGCAUGAGGAGCUGGCUUCAAUGGCUCCAGAGAAUAAACUCAGGUUUAAUCAACUUGAUACCUGUUUUUAUUAUGGCAACCUGUAACCUAGAUGUGUCUAUAAAGCCACCCAUUUUAAAGGUGGAUUUGUCAUUGCUCUUGUCAAGUUAAUAAAAUUAACAAUUAAGGCUG